rnacentral:lncRNA from 1 species
AUGUGUGUCUGUGUGUGGACUUAAUGUGUUACUGUGUGUGGACUUAAUGUGUGUCUGUGUCUGGACUUAAUGUGUGUCUGUAUGUGGAAUUAAUGUGUGACUGUGUGUGGACUUAAUGUGUGUCUGUAUGUGACUGAAUGUGUGUGGACAUAAUGUGUGUUUGUGUGUGGACUUAAUGUGUGUCUGUGUGUGGACUUAAUGUGUGUCUGUGUGUGGACUUAAUGUGUUGUAUUGUCUGUGUUUGGACUUAAUGUGUGUCUGUAUGUGACUUAAUAUGUGUCUGUAUGUGACUUAAUGUGUGUCUGUGUGUGGACUUAAUGUGUGUCUGUAUGUGACUUAAUGUGUGUCUGUAUGUGACUUAAUGUGUGUCUGUGUGUGGACUUACAGGAAUUCGGCCAUCGACCUCACGCAGCUGUUUUAUGGUGACAUCCUGAAGCUGUCCAUUCUCUGUCUGAGGCUCCAUGUCCUUCCUCCCCAGCUUAUUCUGCUGGUGAUGAACUAGCUGGCUGUGUCCUGUCGUUCUGUCACCCCGCCAGAGACACCCCUCUUUAUAUGGAUCCUCACCUCAUCCUGCUGCCCAUUUUACUGUCCUCUCCUACAUCCACUCAUCAACACACACA